ACUACGGGUGGCUGCAGUGGGGAAUAUUGCACAAUGGGCGCAAGCCUGAUGCAGCCAUGCCGCGUGUGUGAAGAAGGCCUUCGGGUUGUAAAGCACUUUCAGCGGGGAGGAAGGCGGUGAGGUUAAUAACCUCAUCGAUUGACGUUACCCGCAGAAGAAGCACCGGCUAACUCCGUGCCAGCAGCCGCGGUAAUACGGAGGGUGCAAGCGUUAAUCGGAAUUACUGGGCGUAAAGCGCACGCAGGCGGUCUGUCAAGUCGGAUGUGAAAUCCCCGGGCUCAACCUGGGAACUGCAUUCGAAACUGGCAGGCUAGAGUCUUGUAGAGGAGGGUAGAAUUCCAGGUGUAGCGGUGAAAUGCGUAGAGAUCUGGAGGAAUACCGGUGGCGAAGGCGGCCCCCUGGACAAAGACUGACGCUCAGGUGCGAAAGCGUGGGGAGCAAACAGGAUUAGAUACCCGUGUAGUC
rnacentral:rRNA from 1 species